AUUCCUACGGGAGGCAGCAGUAGGGAAUAUUGCACAAUGGGCGCAAGCCUGAUGCAGCAACGCCGCGUGCGGGAUGACGGCCUUCGGGUUGUAAACCGCUUUCAGCAGGGACGAAGCUUUUGUGACGGUACCUGCAGAAGAAGCACCGGCCAACUACGUGCCAGCAGCCGCGGUAAUAAU
rnacentral:rRNA from 1 species